rnacentral:lncRNA from 1 species
AUGAUUUUUUUAUGAAAGUUUCCUUUAUCAUUUUAGUCUAUAUAUCUAUCUUGUCCUUGCAACAAGUCCUGCUUCUUUCUUUAAACAGAUUAAGCUUCGAGUUGCCACCUCAAGUAAAAAGAAAUCGCCAAAUGACAAUAUCAUGAAGCUGUAACAGGCCAACAAGAGCCAAAUUACUGCCCUGAUCAGAAAGCUUAAACCCCCAUGAAACUGGUUAUGGUUCACAGAGAAAAUGGAAUUGCUGGCUUGGGGCUUGGGACUUAGAAACUUACAAGAUGAUUAGUGCCC